GACGAACGCUGGCGGCGUGCCUAAUACAUGCAAGUAGAACGGUGAGGGCGGAGCUUGCUUCUCUGGAUGAGUUGCGAACGGGUGAGUAACGCGUAGGUAACCUGCCUGGUAGCGGGGGAUAACUAUUGGAAACGAUAGCUAAUACCGCAUAAUAUUGCCUAUUGCAUGAUAGUGAGUUGAAAGGUGCAACUGCACCACUACCAGAUGGACCUGCGUUGUAUUAGCUAGUUGGUGGGGUAACGGCUCACCAAGGCGGGGAUACAGAGUCGCCCGGCGAGGGGGGUCAGCCACACUGGGACGGAGACCCGGCCCAGACGCCCACGGGAGGCAGCCGGAGGGAAUCGUCGGCCAUGGGCGGAAGUCUGACCGAGCAACGCGGCGUGAGUGAAGAAGGUCGUCGGAUCGGAAAGCACGGUUGUAAGGGAAGAACGAGUUUGAGAGUGGAAAGCUCACAGUGUGACGGUAACUUACCAGAAAGCGCCGGCUAACUACGUG
rnacentral:rRNA from 1 species